AAUUAGAAGAUAUUGAAAAAGGCCUUUUGGCACCAUUGUUAUUAAGUUAUUAUGAACUACCCUCAACAAUGAGACGUUGUUUCUCAUAUUGUGCUAUCUUUUCAAAAGAUUAUCUCUUUUCCAGAGAUAAAUUGGUCCUCCAUUGGAUGGCACAAGGAUAUGUUGAGUCAAAGGCAAAUAUGGAGAUGGAAGUCAUAGCGGAAGAAUACUUUGAAAAGUUAGCCAUGCGUUCUUUCUUCCAAGAUUUCGAGAGACAUGAAAAUAGUGAUGGCAAGAUAAUAAGUUGCAAAAUGCAUGAUAUAGUGCAUGACUUUGCCCAAUUAAUGGCAAAAAAUGAUUCCUUUGAAAUUGAUGGUGAUAAGAAGUUGGAGAGAGAUUGGCAAAGUGCUCAUCAUUUACAUUUAAAAAUUUCAAAAGAAAUGCAAUGCCUCGAAUUCAUCUAUCGUGCAAUAAAUCUACGCACUCUCUUUCUUCUUUCGCAUGAAAGGGAUUAUGAGUUUGAGAUGCUCCUAUCGAACUCAUUCCAUCAUUUUAGAUGUUUACGAACAUUAAUUUUGGAUUGUCCAAUUGAGAAACUUCCAGAUGCAGUGGAAAAUUUGAUACAUUUAAGGUGUCUUCAUAUGUCUGAGAAUGUUUAUAUAAAAGAAUUGCCUGAAACCCUGUGUAAUCUCUAUAAUUUACAAACUUUGUAUAUCGAGAACAGUUAUGGUUUAAAGAAAUUACCACGGGGGAUGAGUAAACUAAUUAACUUAAGACAUCUUAUAUUUGAUGAAAAUAGUCAUUUGGUAUUUCCAAAAGGGUUGGGAAAUUAAUUGAUCUUAGAACAUUAUGGGUAUUCAACAUAGGUGAUAAGGAUGAUAGAGAAGGAUGUAAAUUUGGAGAAUUAAAAAAUUUGAAUCAGCUUCGAGGGACUCUUAGAAUAAAUGGGUUGGAAAAUGUGGUAGAUGUAGGUGAGGUUCAGAAUGCACAAUUGAAGAAGAAAAUACAUCUCCGUGGUUUAGUGCUACGGUUUAGCCCUCUAGAUUCACUCGAAGAUGAAGAGGAUAUAAGAAGAAUAGAGAAUGACAUAUUAGUAUUGAAUGCCUUAGAGCCACCUCCACACUUGCAAGAUUUAGAAAUUGGAGGCUACAUGGGCAACAUUAUUUAUCCUAAUUGGAUGAUGUCAUGUACCACACUGAAAAGGCUUCAACUUCUAUGGUGCGUAAAGUUAGAGCAUUUGCCUUCUUUGGGGCAGUUGCCAUUCCUUGAAGUAUUAAAGAUAUCGUGGCUUCUUAAUGUGAAGAAGGUGGGAGAUGAAUUUCUGGGAAUAGAAGAUUCCAAAAACAAGAAAGACUACGACAUCAUAUUCCCAAACCUGAAAUCUCUCGAAUUUUGGGAUUUGGACAACUGGGAAGAAUGGAUUGGGAUGGGAGAAACAGGAGAAGAAGAAGAAGAAAAGGAUAAUGGUAUUGUUACAAAUCCGAUAUUAAUAAAAAUAAUGCCACGUCUUCAGUCCUUGAAAAUUUGUAGAUGUUAUGGGCUAAAGUCUCUGCCAGACUACUUGAAGAAUUCUGGGAUUGAGCUCGAAGAACGUUACCAAAAAGGGUCCAGAGAGUCUUGGCACUUCCCAAACAUCGUAUUGAUUAGAAGUAAUGACACGUCUUCAUAUUGAUUCAAACAGUCUUUCAAAGACUGUUGAUAAUCAACACUAUGAAUUUGGACCACAAAUCAAUGACAAAGAUGAUGUUGGGGCUGGCUCGGCUGAGUGUGUGGUGGAUGAACGAGUGGAAGUAGACAAUGAUAAGGGUCUGGAGAUCUGUAAAGCAGACAAAUAAUAAGAGCAAGGUAUUGAAGUGGACAAGAUUUUUGAAGACCACAAAGGAGGAGCUGGUCGAUGACAAAAAUUGAGGACCUAGUUUUUUGAGUAAUCAUUGUGAGAGAGGAGGAAUUUAAAAGCCUCUUUUGUGGAUGUUUGAGGGUGGCUUUGGCCCUCUCUCUUUUGCUUCAUUUCUCCACUCUUGCCUCUGAAUCAAAACAAAUAAACCCUCCCUCCAACCAUCUCCCUUGCGACACUCUUCAGGGAAGGUUUUGAUGGAGUAUGGGAGUGGGAUUUGCCCAUUACAAGCCAGCCCUGUAUUGAGCAGCAAGCAAACUGUUUGAACCUAAACCAAAAAGGUUAAGAAAAGAUGUGUUGGCCAAGGAUGAAUCAGAAAGUCAGAAAUCUCUUUGGCUAUUAAUGGAAUCCUUACUUGACCAUCAUUCGUCAGUCCAGGGUGCUACAUGGGGCACAACCAUCUGGCAGCUAAGAACCUAGUCAAUUAGAAUUCUCAUUAAUGGAUUUAUAGCAUUGUAUGCUAAUUUUGAUUAGGACUUGUGCUUGAAGGAGCUAGUGGAGAAUUUGGAAAUAAGCUACCACAGGAUGUGAGUCUAUAUAUCUUAAAAAUCAAGGUAUGGAUGUUAGGGUGUAUUCUCUUGCUUUGUUGCUAAAUGUGUUGUUUGUCAUGCCUAGCAAUUGUGAGCAGAUCACCUUUGAAAGUUAGUAGAGGAAGAAUUUGAAGAGGAGCAUUUGUGUAGUAACUAAUACAACUUUAAGGCUUGGCUUUGCAGUUGGCAAUAUGCAUACUUUUAACAUUGCAGGUGAAAGAAGUGCUAGAGUGUUAAUAAUUUCAAUCUGCCAAUAGUAUAUGAAUGCUUUUGUUCAUCAUCACUUGGUGAUUCUCCAAAUAGCUUUGGAGGCUUUUAGCUGUAUGAUGACGUGUGAAAUUACAAUAUUAGUUGGCGCAUCUGGUGCACUUAGUGUACUAUUGGGAGCCAUGGUUUCCAAGCUUUUCACUAAUUGGAAAAUCUAAGCAAAUAAGCACUUGUAACUCUCGUGCUCAUUAUAGCCAUAAAUUUGCCCCUUGGAUUUCUACCACAUGUGGACAAUUCAGCUCAUAUUGAAGGAUUCCUGUCAGGAUUUCCAACUGGCUUGGAUGUGUAAGCCACAAAUAAAUUCCUUCAGUAUACGCAAUAAAGCAGAAAUCCAAGCACAAGUGUUAUCAAUUCCUUUUAUAGGAUUACAGCUUUAGUCCUCUUAGUUCUUGGGUAAUUAACUUUAACUCUCUCUGCAUUCUAAACUUCUAGUUUAAGUAUCUACCAUGGAAAUGUGAUCCAGCCCUGACUAACCUUUUUCUUUUCUUUAGUUUUAUCAUCCCCGAAGAAAUUGGCAGAUAUGCAUAUGGAUGCAUUGAGCUAUUUAAUGGUCAGAAACCAUAUAGCCAUAUGGUCUACCUUUCUGGAGCAUCAAUCAACUGAAUGAUUAUGUUUUGAUGGAGUAUGGGAGUGGGAUUUGUCUGGGUUGGUGAUUUGCCUAUUACAAGCCAACCUACUAUUGAGCAGCAAGCUGACUGUUUGAAUCUAGUACAAAGAGUUUGAGAAAGAUGUGUUGGCCAAGGAUGGAGCAGAAAAUCAAAAAUCUGAUUGGCUAUUAAUGGUAGUAUAAAGUUUGUUCUUUAAUAUUUAAAUCUUUCAGUUGUAACUCUGUCCACUUUUCUCUAUGGCCUUGUAUACUUAUAAGUUAUAUCUGAAAACCUUAAAUUACCAUCAUUGGUCAAUCCAAGGUGCUACAUGGGGCAUAGCCAUCUGGCACCUAAGAACCGCAAGUCAAUUAGUAUUAUCAUUAAUGGUCUUAUAUCUUUCCGACACAUUUCUCUUCCAUUAAUGUUUCUUGAUCAAAUCAGCCAAUUUAUAAAGAGAAGUUAAAUUAGCUUCACCUAAA